rnacentral:rRNA from 1 species
CUACGGGAGGCAGCAGUCGGGAAUUUUGCGCAAUGGACGAAAGUCUGACGCAGCAACGCCGCGUGAGGGAUGACGGCCUUCGGGUUGUAAACCUCUUUUGUCAGGGACGAUGAUGACGGUACCUGACGAAUAAGCCACGGCUAACUACGUGCCAGCAGCCGCGGUAAUACGUAGGUGGCAAGCGUUGUCCGGAUUUACUGGGCGUAAAGAGCGCGCAGGCGGUCGUUCAAGUCGCGUGUGAAAGCCCCCGGCUCAACUGGGGAGGGUCACGCGAUACUGAUCGACUCGAAGGCAGGAGAGGGUAGUGGAAUUCCCGGUGUAGUGGUGAAAUGCGUAGAUAUCGGGAGGAACACCAGUGGCGAAGGCGACUACCUGGCCUGUUCUUGACGCUGAGGCGCGAAAGCUAGGGGAGCAAACGGGAUUAGAUAUCCUGGUAGUCC